rnacentral:rRNA from 1 species
UACGGGGGGAGCAAGCGUUGUUCGGAUUUACUGGGCGUAAAGGGCGCGUAGGCGGCCACCGCAAGUCAGUUGUGAAAUCUCUGGGCUUAACCCAGAACGGUCAGCUGAUACUGCGGGGCUAGAGUGCAGAAGGGGCAACUGGAAUUCUCGGUGUAGCGGUGAAAUGCGUAGAUAUCGGGAGGAACACCUAUGGCGAAAGCAGCUGCCUGGGCCUUUACUGACGCUAAGACUCGAAAGCUAGGGGAGCAAACAGG